AAAGAAAAGCAAUUCAGGUAGUCUAAACCAGGCUCUCAAAACAGAGUUCAUCUGCCUUUGUUUGGCCAAUGCAGUGAGAUUCUGCAGGUCAGUUUUCUGGGCUGGUGGACAAGAAAAACAUAAACGUACUUUCAUCAGCUUGAUUGCAUUCUGAAAAAAAAGGCACAAUCUCCCAGAAUCACCGGGGGAGGGAUUUGGACAGAUAGAGUAAGGCUAUGUGAGACAGUCACCCUCAAGGUCAGAGUGGCUUACCUUUUCAACAGGAACACAUGGAGAUGUGAGGACCCUCUUGCCUUUCCUCCUUAUUAUAAAAACAGUCCUUUUAUGUUGUGAAAGAGAAGACUGACAAGCAAGGGAGGACAAAGGUGUGGUAGAAAAUGGUUGGUGCACCGACAAUUUUAGUGACCAAUGGGGCAGCACAUUUUCGCUUGUGUGGUAUGCCCCUCAAAACUGAGAAAAGGCAGCACAGUCAAUUUCUAAUCUACACAGAGUUGCUUGUUUCAUGUUAAAAUGUGUUUUGCUUAGAAGUUGCUUCGUUUAAAAAU